rnacentral:rRNA from 1 species
GUGCGAAGGUAGCGUAAUCACUCGUCUUUUAAUUGAAGGCUCGUAUGAACGGCAUAACGAGAGUUUAUCUGUCUCUAUUUUCCAAUCAAUGAAACUGAUCUCCUCGUGCAGAAGCGAGAAUAAAAACAUAAGACGAGAAGACCCUAUGGAGCUUUAAACACUUAAGUUACCCUUAACACACACAAACACCUCUACGGAACUAAACUUAAUUUAACCCCUAACUUAACCUGUUUUUGGUUGGGGCGACCAAGGGGAAAAACAAAACCCCCUUAUCGAAUCCGUGAUCACCACUAAAAUUAGAACCACUAUUCUAAUUAAUAGAACAUCUAACGAACAAUGAUCCAGAAACCUCUUCUGAUCAAUGGACCAAGUUACCCUAGGGAUAACAGCGCAAUCCUUUCCAAGAGCCCUAAUCACCGAAAGGGUUUACGACCU